rnacentral:rRNA from 1 species
UUGGAGGGCAAGUCUGGUGCCAGCAGCCGCGGUAAUUCCAGCUCCAAUAGCGUAUAUUAAAGUUGUCGCAGUUAAAAAGCUCGUAGUUGAAUUUCGGGAUCAAUUUAUUGGUCGUGCUAUUGUACGUACUGGUAUUAUUGAUUCCUACCUUCUGACGAACCAUGAUGUCAUUAAUUUGGUGUCUUGGGGAAUCAGGACUGUUACUUUGAAAAAAUUAGAGUGUUUAAAGCAGGCUCACGCUUGAAUACAUUAGCAUGGAAUAACGAAAUAGGACGUUUGAUUCUAUUUUGUUGGUUUCUAGGAUCGACGUAAUGAUUAAUAGGGAUAGUUGGGGGCAUUAGUAUUCAAUUGUCAGAGGUGAAAUUCUUGGAUUUAUUGAAGACUAACUACUGCGAAAGCAUUUGCCAAGGAUGUUUUCAUUAAUCAAGAACGAAAGUUAGGGGAUCGAAGACGAUCAGAUACCGUCGUAGUCUUAACCAUAAACUAUGCCGACUAGGGAUCGGAUGAUGUUAAUUUUUUAAUGACUCAUUCGGCGCCUUACGGGAAAC